GGUUGGCUCAGAAGCAGCCAUCCUUUAAAGAGUGCGUAACAGCUCACUAGUCGAGUGACCCUGCGCCGAAAAUGUACCGGGGCUAAGCCUGAUACCGAAACUGCGGAUUGUAGGAAACUAUAGUGGUAGGGGAGCGUUGUAUACGAGCAGAAGCCGUACCGUGAGGAGCGGUGGAUUGUAUAGAAGUGAGAAUGCCGGUGUGAGUAGCGAGAUGUAGGUGAGAAUCCUACACACCGAAAGCCCAAGGAUUCCAGGGGAAGGUUCGUCCGCCCUGGGUAAGUCGGGACCUAACGCGAGGCCGAAAGGCGUAGUGGAUGGAAAGCAGGCGAAAGAUUCCUGCACCCGUAUAUGGAGCGAAGGAGUGACGGAGACGGAUAGUGUGACCCUCUUAAUGGAUUGAGGGCGAAGCGAAGCGGCUGGUUACCAGGCAAAUCCGGUAACCAAAAGGCUAGAGCGUGACAGGUAAGCGAAAUCCAAGGAAAGUAGCGAAGCACAUGAUGACGGCUUCCAGGAAAAGCUUCUGGCAAUGCAUAUGCGGCCCGUACCAAAACCGACACAGGUGGGCAGGGAGAGAAUCCCGAGGUGAGCGAGAGAACUGUUGCCAAGGAACUCGGCAAAAUGACUCCGUAAGUUAGCGAGAAGGAGUGCUUAAGCAAUUAAGCCGCAGUGAAGAGGCCCAAGCGACUGUUUAACUAAAACACAGCUCUCUGCGAAGUCGCAAGACGAAGUAUAGGGGGUGACACCUGCCCGGUGCUGGAAGGUUAAGAGGAUCUGUUAAGAGCGAUCUGAAGCAGUGAUCCGAAGCCCCAGUGAACGGCGGCCGUAACUAUAACGGUCCUAAGGUAGCGAAAUUCCUUGUCAGGUAAGUUCUGACCCGCACGAAAGGUGUAACGAUUUGGGCGCUGUCUCGGCAGCAGACUCGGUGAAAUCUUAGUACCUGUGAAAAUGCAGGUUACCCGCAACUAGACGGAAAGACCCCAUGGAGCUUUACUGCAGCCUGAUAUUGAAUUCUGGUCAUACAUGUACAGGAUAGGUGGGAGACAAAGAGACGUGCACGCCAGUGUACGAGGAGUCGACGUUGGGAUACCACUCUUGUGUGACCGGGGUUCUAACCUGGUAUCGAGAACAGGUACGGGGAGAGUGUCAGGUGGGCAGUUUGACUGGGGCGGUCGCCUCCCAAAGAGUAACGGAGGCGCCCAAAGGUACGCUCAGAUUGGAUGGAAACCAAUCGUCGAGUGCAAUUGCAGAAGCGUGCUUGACUGUGAGACAGACAAGUCGAACAGGGACGAAAGUCGGGAAUAGUGAUCCGGCGGUGCCGAAUGGAAGGGCCGUCGCUCAACGGAUAAAAGCUACCCUGGGGAUAACAGGCUGAUCUCCCCCAAGAGUCCACAUCGACGGGGAGGUUUGGCACCUCGAUGUCGGCUCAUCGCAUCCUGGGGCUGAAGUAGGUCCCAAGGGUUGGGCUGUUCGCCCAUUAAAGCGGUACGCGAGCUGGGUUCAGAACGUCGUGAGACAGUUCGGUCCCUAUCUGUUGUGGGCGAAGGAGAUCUGCGGAGAGCUGUCCUCAGUACGAGAGGACCGGGAUGGACCUACCGCUGGUGCACCGGUUGUUCCGCCAGGGGCAUAGCCGGGUAGCUAAGUAGGGAAAGGAUAAGCGCUGAAAGCAUCUAAGCACGAAGCCUACUCCAAGAUGAGAUCUCCCAUUCG
rnacentral:rRNA from 1 species